rnacentral:lncRNA from 1 species
ACCCACAUACCUCCAAAAUUCUACUAGAAUCUCGUCUGGUCUGGUUGCUUUGCCCCGACUCAUCUUACACAUCUCUCCCAUGACCUCCUCAACCUUAAUACACCUACAGUAUAUAAAGUCUUGGUGCCUCUCAGAGUGCCCCAAUUCCCUAAGCAUGAUGUUUCUAUCCCCCUCUUCAUUCAGAAGUUUAUGAAAGUAGAACUGCCACCUUUUCUUAAUUUGGGCCUCGUCCAUCAAUACUUGACCUUCCUCAUCUUUGAUGCACCUCACUUGAUCCAGGUUGCGAGCCUCCUUCUCUCUCGCUUUGGCCAGCCAAAAUAACUUCUUAUCCUCACCUUUGCCCCCUAGUUCCUUAUACAACUGACCAAACGCAACAGUCUUAGCCUCCAUGACCGCUAAUUUUGCCUCCUUCCUAGCUUCCUUAUAUUUUUCUCUGUUCGCUCUCCUCUACUCCUCGUCGGUGCUCUCCACUAACAUAAGGUAAGCCACUUUCUUUGCUUUCACUUUAUCUUGGACCACCCCUAAUCGCCUUGGUACUCGCCAGAGUAACCCUUCGAGACCCUUAACACCUCUCUCGUCGCCGUCCACAUAAUGCUAGCAUCCCCACUACUAUUCCAGGCUCCCAUAGCCGUCAGCCACCCCUCCAACUCCUGCGCAUUAUCCUUAGUCAAAACUCUCUACCUGAUCCUCGGUUGGCCCUGUACAAGCCUCUUCUUCCUCUUUAUUAAGCUACCAACGUCCAUCACCAGGAGCUUAUGUUGAGUCGCGAGGUUCUCACUCGGGAUUACCUUACAAUCCUUACACAACCCCCUAUCACACCUCUUGAGGAUGCGAUAGUCAAUCUGAGUCGUAGCCACCAUACUCCGAAAAGUAAUCAAAUGCUCAUCCUUCUUCGAAAAAAUAGAGUUCAUGAUCACCAACUCAAAAGCUCUAGAGAAAUCCAACAAUGAAGUACCUCCUCCGUUCCUAUCCUCAAAGCCGAAGCCACUGUACACCUCGCCAUAGCCACCAACAGACAAUCCAAUAUGACCAUUGAUAUCCCCUCCUAUAAAUAACUUCUCCGUAGGCGGAGUACCCUGCACCAAAUCAUCCAACGCCUCCUAGAAGCGCCUUAUAGCCUCCUCGUCCAUGCCCGCUUGCGGUGCAUAAGCGCUAAUGAUAUUCAGAGUGCCCCUCCAACUACUAACUUAAUCACUAUCAAUCUGUCAUUCACUCACCUAACCUCCACCACUGACUCUCUGAGCUCCCUAUCCACCAAAAUACACACUCCAUUCUUGCCCUUCGCGCCUCCUGAGUACCACAAUUUAUACCCAUAUGCAUUUCUCGCCUUCGAUCCUACCCACCUAGUCUCAUGCUCACAAGCUAUAUUGACCUUCUUCUUCUGGAGAAUCUUCGUCAGCUCUAUAGACUUACCCGUCAACGUCCCUAUAUUCCACAAUCUAAUUCUCAACCUACAGGCUUCCUUGUUCCCUUUACCCUCUUUGGGCCUUGUCCCGCCACCUGACCCUUGUCCUACCCCUCGCCCCGCCACCGCUCAGGUAGAGAGAGGGAGAGGGAGAGGGAGAAUAAAUAUAGUAAGUUCUUUUGGAAUUUGGCCAUACAAUGCUAAUUCUUUUGGGUUGCCUUUGGCAAACAUAAUCUACGACAAAAAGUUUGCCAAUUCAUAUUAUAUGUUGUCAUUCGGUGCCAAUUUACAGAAAAAGACAAAAGGUUGAAAAGGACCCGAAGUAAAACACCAUGUUUGACUUCUGAUUUUAAGCCCGAGCUGAUCCAAGGCCCAAUAUCGGCCAAAAUUUCAGUUUUCUAAUAGAGCCCAAAGUUUCAUUUACGCUCCAAUAUUUGGGAGACUGAAUGCUUGAUCCUUAACUGCCACCAAGCAAAGUUAUUAUCAAAAGGCAACACAAUAGAAAUGCUCUUAUUAUUUUCUUCCUUCAUCCCAAUAUGCAAAAUCAGAUGGCCACGCCAAAAAGUUAUAAGUAUCAUUAUUGGUAAGAUAUUUUACUUAUCAAUGUUCAGAAUGAAGCAUCAAGUAUACUAUAAAUCUCAAAACUGAGUUUUAAGGGUGCCAAAUUCGACACAAAAAAAGAGUGUGAUAUAUCCACCUUGGCCAAACUUUAAAGAGUUCAGUAACUGUAUACGAGUUCAAUAAAUAAUAUAGAGAAAUUUUCAAAAAUCACUAUGUUUUAGUGAUUAUUAGUUUGCUAUAGCUAUUAUUUACUAAAUUACUUCCUAUAGCUAUGUGUUCAGUAGUUAUAGAUUGUAUUCGAUGUAUUUUUGCUAUUGUAUUCAUGAAUAUAGUAGGAAAACUCGAUAGAAAAUCGGGGAGUCCAGCUAAGCAGAGAAUGUAUUCGACUGUAUUCGUGAAUACAGUAAUAGAAUUUGCGGAAAAAAAGGUCUUCAGCUGUUUAAAAAUGGUAAGUGAAUCAAUUAAGGCGAAAGACUCCUAAUACAACUCAACAAACUCAAUUAUAACACACAAAAUUUAUAUUUCCAGUUAUAAAAAAGAUUUUCAAGAAAAAAACACCCCAAAAACAGAGCAAUCUUUAGAGAUUCAAUCCAUCCUUUCUUUUUUAGUGGUAUCUUUACUAAAAUAUUUUUUAGUGGUAUCUUUACAAAUAGAUUUAUAUAUUGAAAUUAUAUAAUUACAUUGAAUACAGUUAAAUACAUAAAAAUAUAUUGAAUACAUGAAGUAUAUCAGGUCAUCUAUAGUGCAAAAACAUAUGAAUACAUACUGCAGAUACAUUGUAAUACAUAUAUACAUCUGAAUAUAUAAAUUAUAUUAAUUAAAAAAAUAUAUAAAUACAUUCAUGGAAUACAGCGAGACAGUGAAUAUAAUGAAAUUCAUGAAAUACAGUGAGAUAUAUUGAAAUACAAUAAAAAAAAUAAAGAUGGUGAAUACAAUAAAAUACAUGGAAUACAGCGAGAUACAUUAAAAUACAAUUAAAAAAAAGUAACAGACUCUUCAAGUUUCUCAGCCCCAAACUCCAUUCCCAAUCCACCGAUAUCCAGGUCGCCGCCAUGUAGGGCAUCGCCGCUGGUUAAAUGAAGACAGUGGUUGAAGAAGCACCAAUUUAAAGGAUCAAACAGAAAUUAGAGACAGAACUUCAUCAGAUCUCACAAGGCAAACAUGAACAAUCAAUGCAAAAUCUAAGAAAAAUUUAGAAUGUGGAACACAACUGUGUGAAAGAAAUCGCUGGCCGGAGGAGGGGGUUAGGGGUGACACAAUAAGGGGGAGUCGCCGGUCGGAUCUGUCGUUGGCGGAACACAACCCCUGCUAGGGUUUCUAAAAGCAGGGAAGGAAAAAACCGGGGGAAAAAGAAGAAACAACAACAACAACAACAACAACAACAACAACAACAACAACAACGACCCAGUAUAAUCGCACACGUGGGGUCUGAGGAGGGUAAUAUGUACGCAGACCUUACCCCUACCCCGAAGGGUAGAGAGGCUGUUUUCAGGAGACCCUCGGCUCAAAAAAAGCAACAAGAGACGAUAUAUUAGUACUAUAAAAAUGCAUAAUAAAAUAACAGCAAUAUAAGAGAUAUGAAAUACAAAAUAAGAAAUACGAAAUAUAUGGCUGGUAUAGUAAAAAACUAGCAGGUAAAGCCCUGCAUCAAUAGACGACCAAUGACAUUCUUAGUCUAACUCCUAACUGGAUAGUCUCACUCUAUUGUGCUGUAGAAAUAUUCGCAACUUUCCCCUAACCUACAACCUUAAUGCUCGACCUCCAUAAUUCCCUGUCAAGGGCCAUGUCCUCAGUAAUCCUAAGUCGCGCCAUGUCCUGUCUGAUCACCUCUCCCCAAUACUUCUUAGGUCGCCCUCUACCUCUCCGCGUGCCCNNNNNNNNNNNNNNNNNNNNNNNNNNNNNNNNNNNNNNNNNNNNNNNNNNNNNNNNNNNNNNNNNNNNNNNNNNNNNNNNNNNNNNNNNNNNNNNNNNNNNNNNNNNNNNNNNNNNNNNNNNNNNNNNNNNNNNNNNNNNNNNNNNNNNNNNNNNNNNNNNNNNNNNNNNNNNNNNNNNNNNNNNNNNNNNNNNNNNNNNNNNNNNNNNNNNNNNNNNNNNNNNNNNNNNNNNNNNNNNNNNNNNNNNNNNNNNNNNNNNNNNNNNNNNNNNNNNNNNNNNNNNNNNNNNNNNNNNNNNNNNNNNNNNNNNNNNNNNNNNNNNNNNNNNNNNNNNNNNNNNNNNNNNNNNNNNNNNNNNNNNNNNNNNNNNNNNNNNNNNNNNNNNNNNNNNNNNNNNNNNNNNNNNNNNNNNNNNNNNNNNNNNNNNNNNNNNNNNGGCCAACAUUCAGUUCCAUAUAACAUGGCAGGCUAACCACUGCUCUAUAAAACUUACCUUUUAGUAACGGUGACAAUUUCUUGUCACACAAGACUCCCGACACUAACCUCCACUUCAUCCACCCACCCCUAUACGGUGUGUGACAUCCUCGUCAAUCUCCCCGAUCCCCUGAAUAACCGAUCCAAGGUACUUGAAACUACCCCUCUUGGGAAUGACUUGAGAGGCAAGCCUCACUUCAACUCCCGCUUCCGUCGGCUCAACCCUAAAUUUGCACUCGAGGUAUUCCGUCUUCGUCCUACUCAACUUGAAACCUUUAGACUCAAGAGCAUGUCUCCAAAUCUCUAGCCUCUCGUUGACGCCGCCUCGUGUCUCGUCAAUUAGAAUAAUGUCAUCAGCGAAUAGCAUGCACCAUGGCACCUCCCCUUGAAUAUGACAAGUCAGUGCAUCCAUCACCAGGGCAAAUAGGAAUGGGCUGAGCGCAGACCCUUGGUGCAACCCCGUAAUAACUGGAAAGUGUUUAGAGUCACCUCCUACUGUCCUAACCCGAGUCUUAGCUCCAGCAUACAUGUCUUUAAUCACCCUAAUAUAGUCAACCGAGACCCCUUUAUCCUCUAAGCAGCUCCAUAAGACCUCCCUAGGAACCCUAUCGUACGCUUUCUCCUGAUCAAUAAGCACCAUGUGGAGAUCCUUCUUCAUAUCCCUGUACUGUUCCACCAUCCUCCUAAUAAGGUGGAUAGCUUCUGUGGUAGAUCGCCCCGGCAUGAACCCGAACUGGUUGUCUGAAAUAGACACCGUCCUUCGCACUCUCAUUUCUACCACUCUCUCCCAAACUUUCAUGGUAUGACUUAGUAAUUUGAUGCCCCUAUAGUUAUUACAGCUCUGGACAUCACCUUUGUUCUUAUACAACGGAACCAUUGUACUCCACCUACACUCUUCAGGCAUCCUAUUUGUCUUGAAUAUAACACUAAACAAUUCAGUAAGCCAUUCCAAGCCUGCUCUACCCACACACCUCCAAAGUUCUACCGGAAUUUCGUCUGACCUGGUAGCUCUGCCCCUUCUCAUCUUACGCAUUGCCUCCAUGACUUCAUCGAUCUCAAUGUCCCUAUAAUUACUUAAUGUCCCUAUAAGAGAAGAAAGAGGAAAGAAAAAAGAGGAGAGAGGGAAGAGAGAAAAUAAUACAUAGCGUAUUUAAUGGCUUAAAGGUAGGAAGUGGUCAUAAAUAGAUAUUUUGCUAUAAAAAUUAAAAGAUAGCUAUAGGAGAUAAUUCUUUACAACGGUAUUUAUUUAUAGUAAAUAAGGUAUCAAUCUUUGCUAUAGGAGGUAAAAUUUCCAACUGGUUACAACAUGAUUGAGACCAACUUGGGCUUCAUUACUAGGCCUAAUCAGUCCGUAAGAGAGUUUUGUCAAAAAUAGAUUGUACACAAAAAUAACAAAAAAAUAAAAAUAAAGUGGUUCUGGUUUUGUAGGAUAUAGUUUUAUUAUAUUGUAAAGUGAUUUACUUUUUAAAACCACAGUUGAUAAUACAAACUUAUUAAAAAAAAAUUGAAAAAUAGAUCUAAGUUAAUCGAUGAUCCGCUACCCAACUCAGCACAUUUUUUGACCUGGAAAAAAAUUGGACGAAUAGGGUAAUAACUUGUUCGUUGACUAAAUCUAUUUUAAUCUCAAAAUGAUCCUAACUUAUUUGACACCCAAAACUGAUCGACAGUGUUAGUAUCAAAACUAGACCGACAGUGUUAGUACCAAAACUUAAUCGAAGAAAUGCAUAUAACCGAUGGUUUGAAUUUAGUUCAUUUCCCUAUUAUUUUCUCUGCGUCUAAAGUAUGUGCUCUAUGCUAACCUUUGUAGAGGUGGAUUCAAUGCACUAAAUAAUCCUUAUACAUGAUGGUGGGUCAAAAUCCAAAUUGCAUCGUAUAACAUCAUUUGUUAAGUUUGGUGUAAGUCAUUUUGAGUGGAGAGAAACCCAAACCUAAAUUUUACUAUGACCUUUUUAUAAUCAAGUUCAUUGAAAUUGUAUAUAUGGUCAUUGAUUUGAGUUUUUAUCACCCUAUUAGCAAAAUCAACAGCUAAGAAAAUCAACAGCCAACGGUCAUGUUUCAUAGUUCAUGAAAUGUUAUAUUCUUAUGCUUAGAUGAAAAAAAAAAAUCUUACACUUAACUCACUCAUUGAUUAAAGCUAGUUUAUAGCUUUAAUUUGGUUCACUAACAAGUUAUAUGGUAUUACUGUACAAGCAUUUCAAUUUGAUGAAAAGUAAUUACUCUAUGUCGGACAUUUCGUUCAUUAUAGUAAAAAUUGUAUAUGAGAUAAAUAAUCUAAAAUAUGUGUUUGAAUUUAAAGUGGAUAAAUUAAAUGGUGUUUCCAGUAAUCUUCGGCCUUUACAUAGCUCCUUUGUCAUCUUGAAGGACUAUGGUUGGUUAAAAUACUAAAUGAAGAAUGUGAGUAGAGCCGACAAAAGAAGAAGCAUGUGAGUAACAAUUUUGCAAAUAAAUUUUCUGACAAAUAGGAAUUAAAAUUUUGCCCUUCCAGAUUUUUCUAAUAUUCUUAAAACCGAAUUUGUGUUGACACCGAAGACAACAAUUAAUAAUAAUAUAGAUGAACAAUUUUUAACAUAAACAUGUUAAAUCGAGAAGUAAUAGAAGUUAUUGUUAGAAUAGGCCCAUUUGAUAGUGUAUGAUUCUAUUUCAUUUUUUACUUUGGGCCAGUAGUACCCGGCCCAAUCUUGUAUUUAAUGUACGCCUUAUUUUUUUUUAAUAGGAACGGACUAUCAUUCUUAUAGAGAUAAUAAAAAUAUCUAGAACUCUCCUUUCUCUCUCUAAUGGAAACACUUGUGUUCUAAUUUCUCAAACUCUCAAUCUGAGAAAUAUGUCAAGUUUACAUGGUAUCGAGCAUAGAUCCUUCUGUGGCUCGUUCUCUGCUUUCGAUCGAUCCUGUUUUCGUUAAUUACGGAGGUGUAUUUCAUUCUAGGUGAUGUCCGGCUCAUUUAGCGUUCAACUCGAUAUUUUUCAACCAUUUCUACUGAUUUUUUGUUGAUUUCUUAGUCGGAUUCUCACUAUAUCAAAUUGUUUGAUUGGUGAUGUGAUUUGGGAAUUUCGUGGUUUUCAUCUCGAGCUAGGGUUUUGAAGUCGUCUACUGUCAAGUCGUAGCUUCUCUCUCAUUUGUGAUUGAAGGCUGUUUUCUAUUUUUCGAUCGUGAAAAGAGCUGGGUAGCCUCUAAAUUGCAUGCCUAUUUGGUCUAUAGAUGUGUAUCUGCAUUGUGUUGUUUGGUUGACAAUUUGUUGAAGAAAUGACAAACGAUAAUAACACCAGUGCUGAUGCGACUUCUUCUACUCCCUCACACCUAAUUUUUCAUGAAGAUGAUUAUACCCAUCCCUGUCACCCCCUAUAUGUCCAUCCCUCGGACGUGAUGGGAUCUUCCUUAGUUUCUAGUCCUUUUGAUGGAAGAUGUUAUGGCAGUUGGAGGCGUAAUGUCCUAGUUGUUUUGUCUAUUCAUAACAAGCUAGAUUUCAUUAAUGGUACUUCUCAAAGACCACCCGGAGGUUCUCCUCUAGCCAGAUAGUGGCAACAUUGCAAUGACCUUGUGAUCUCUUGGCUGACUAACUCUAUGUCCAGGGAAAUAUCUAGGAGUGUUGAAUACUCUGAGUUUGCUAAAGAUAUUUGGACUGAGUUAGAAGAGAGGUAUGCAAAAGUUGAUGGUGCUAGGAUCUUUGAGCUAAAGAAGGAACUGGCUCAUAUUUCCCAAGAGUCCAUGGACACACCAUCAUAUUUCAACAAAAUUAAACGAAUACGGGAUGAGAUUGCAUCCUUGUCUAUGGGAAGAAUUCGAAUGUGUACUUGUGGGGGGUAAGUCUGUUGAAGAUGAAGAACAAAAGAUCUACCAGUUCCUUAUGGGAAUGAAUGAUACUUAUGUUCAAACAAAAAGCAACAUGAUCAUGAUGAAGCCUUUGCCUUCCAUUGAUAAUGUAUAUGGGAUUUUGCUAUCUGAUGAGAAGUAAAGGCAUGUUUCUGCUGGAACUCAAUUUGCCUCCAAUUCUGCUUCUUUCAGUUCUUGUGUAUCCAGGCCUCCACCCUCUCCCUAAAUAAAUUUUGAACCUCAAAAGUUAGGUACUACCUCUAAGGCAUCUUUUGUGCCUCACAAGUCUACUAUUGUCUGCAAGUAUUGUAAGAAACUUGGACAUAGCAUUGAUAAGUUCUAUAAACUCCAGGGUUUUCCUCCAAACUUCAAGUCAAAUAGAUUUCCUCCUCCCAGAAGGUCUGUUGCCCAUGUAGAAGUGGAUACCUUUAGUGUUUCUGCUAUGUCAGCUGGUCUUGAAGGUACCUCUGCUCCUGAACAGUCCUAUCCAGUUCCUGGUUUUACCCAAGGACCAAUAUUCUCAGCUAAUGCUACUUCUUCAGCAAUCUCAACUGUUUUCAUCAGUAUCAUCUACUUCUUCAACCAACUAUCUUGCCUCUACCAACUUUGCUGGUGAGUUAUUACCUCACAAGGUUGUGUCUUAUGGUGCAUGUAUGCUGACUAAGAUAUGCAAUGUAGUUUGGGUGAUAGACUCUAGGGAAUCUGACCACAUGACCUCCCUUAAACAUUUACUUUUUAAUAUUCAAACACUUCUUGUACACUAUCUUGUCUCUCUUCCUAAUGGGUAUAAGGUUAAGGUCACUAAUAUUGGUUCCUUAACCUUGUUCCCUGACUUGAUUCUUCAUAAUGUGCUCCAUUUUCCUAGUUUUCAAUUCCCUGUAUAAAAUUACUUUCCCAUGAUGAUGAUAUUGUACAAUUUACCAAGGCUGCUUGUACCUUACAGGGCCCUUCAGUGAAGAAGCCAGUGGUUCUUGGUAGAUUAGACAAGGACUCUACAAACUGUAUCAGAAUGCCAAGCCUCCAACAUCAUCUCCUUUACCUCUUUCUAAUUCCCUUAGUUCUUGUUUGCUUAAUUCAGUUUCUGCUCCUAUUUCUGUAGUGAUGAUACUACAAUUGUAAAUAUCAGUAUUGUUUUGCAUAAUGUGAAUAAAUAUGAUGUUUGACAUUAUAGACUUGGCCACAUUCCAUUCUCUAAAAUGAAAUGCAUUUCUGGUAUUACUUGCAAACUGUCUUCCAAACAAUUAUUCACUUGUCCAGUUUGUCCUUUAGCUAGGCAGACCAGGUUGUCCUUCCCUGAUAGUUCUAUUCACUCCACCCAACCUUUUUAGCUAAUACACAUAGAUACAUGGGGACCCUAUUUUACUCCUACCUAUGAUGGUUCAAGGUAUUUUUUUAACCAUUGUAGAUGACUACUCUAGAGCUACUUAGACACAUUUAGUGGGUGCCAAAAGCAAUGCUUUUGAUUUGCUCAAGACUUUCAUUGCUAUGGUUGAAACCCAAUUCCAUUCUAAAGUUCAAACUGUUAGGAGUAAUAAUGCAUUGGAGCUGGGAUCUACUUCUUAUGGUUGCUUCUUCUUUUCAAAAAAAAGGAUAGUACACCAAACCUCAUGUCCUCACCCCCCCCAACAGAAUGGUGUUGUAAAAAAGAAACACAAAAAUUUACUAGAGACUGCUUGGGCACUUCUGUUUCAGUCUCACCUACCACUUAAAUUUUUGGGUGACUGCCUUUUAACUGCCACCUAUUUGAUUAACAGAUUUUCUUCUCGUCUUCUAAAUCACAAAAGUCCCUAAGAAUUGCUUUAUUCUUCCACCCCUACUUAUCACCACCUUACAACAUUUGGUGCCUCUGUUACUCAACUGUCACCACCCCUCACAAAGGCAAAUUCCAUCCCAGGUCCCUUCCUUGUGUUUUCAUUGGCUACCCUUUUGCCAAAACGGGCUACAAGCUCCUUAAUCUUCAAAAUAACACCUAUUUUGUAUCAAGAGAUGUCAUUUUUUCUGAACACAUUUUUCCUUUCUUUUAAUCCUCUAAUGUUGUACCUCAGGUCUUCCCCUUUUCCUUUUUCUGCUUGUUUUGAUGACUGUUCCUUCACUUCUUCUUCCUCUCCUUCUUCUUCUUCACCUUCUCUUUCUACUGCUUCUCAAUCCUUUUCUGUUCCCACUUUCUUCUCUUCUCCUCCUUAUGUUUUUGUCUCUCCCGCAACUCCUUUCUGCUUUGAGAAGAUAUUCCAGGCCAUACAAUCCACCCAGCUAUCUCAAGAGUUAUGUCUGCAUCUCCGCUUCUUCUCCUCCUCCCUCCAGGUCUGUUUCUAAUGCUACUUCUCUUAGUCAGCUUCAUGUUCUUGAGCCUUAUUCUUACUCUGAGGCUGCAGAUGUUCCUGAAUGGAAGGCAGCCAUGAGGUGUGAAUUUGAGGCCUUGGAUGCCAGCAGAACUUGGGACAUUGUUGAAUUGCCUCCUGGCAAGAAACCUAUUGGUUGUAAGUGGGUAUACAAGGUUAAGCAUUGGGCUGAUGGGAGUAUUGAGAGAUAUAAAGCUAGGUUGGUAGUUAGGGCUGAUACUCAAGUUGAGGGUAUUGACUUUAAUGAAACUUUUUCCCCUGUGAUCAAGAUGUCUACUAUUAAAAAUCUGAUUGUUGUAGCUGUUAAGCAACACUGGCCCAUCUUUCAACUAGAUGUGAAUAAUGGCUUAUUACAUGGGGACCUUGAUGAGGAGGUAUUCAUGAAGCUCCCACCUGGUCUACUGUUCGUUACUCUUCUUCUUUUUCUGCUCCUUUCGUAUGCAAACUUCAGAAGUCUCUCUAUGGUUUAAGAUAGGCUUCAAGACAAUGGUAUGCUAACUUGUCUCAAGCCUUGUGCUCUAAGGUCUUCUCUAAUUCCUUGAAUGAUUACUCUAUUUUUACCAAGGAUUCUAGUGAUUCCUUGGUCAUCUUGGUUGUCUAUGUAGAUGAUAUCAUAUUGACUGGGUGUGAUUUAGCUGAAUUGGAUGAUUUGAAGUUCUUUAUCAAUGCCUAGUUCAAGAUCAAGGAUUUGGGAUCUCUUAAUUACUUCCUUGGCAUUGAGGUUUUCUACAGUGACUCAGGGGUUCUUCUUCUCAGGAAAAGCUCAUUCAUCAUUUGCUGGAUGAUUUUCAUUCCUCUGAUUGCUCUCAUGUCACUUGCCCCCUUGAAUUGAAUGUGAAGUUGAAAGUUAAGGCUGGCAUUCCCUUGCGCAGGCCUGAAGGGUACAGGAGUCUCGUGGGCAAGCUGAACUUUCUGACACACACAAGGCCGGACCUUAGUUUUGCUGUUCAACAUCUGAGUCAGUUAAUGCAAUCUCCCAGUUAAUGCAAUCUCCCUGUGUUCCUCACAUGCAGGCUGCCUUGCACUUGCUGAGAUACCUCAAGGGAACCUCUGACUUUAGAAUCUUCCUCAACAACUCUCCAGACUUGUCUUUGCAUCUUUAUUGUGACAGUGAUUGGGCUUCUUGCCCAUACAACCGCAUAUCUGUCAUUGGUUUUUGCAUUUUUCUUUGGAGCAGCUUGGUGGGUUGGAUAUUAAAGAAGCAACAUGUUGUCUCACUAUCAUCAGUUGAAGCUGAUUAUAGGUCCAUGAGUAAGGUUGUUGCAGAGGUGUCUUAGCUCAACAGAUUAUUGUUUGAUUUUGGAGUUUCUCCUUCUUUAAUUGUUCCUUUGUUUUGUGAUAAUCAGGCAACCAUCCACAUUGCGAGAAACCCCGUUUUUCAUGAACACACUAAAUACAUUGAGUUGGAUUGUCAUUUUGUGGCUGAUGUUCUUACAAAAUUUUUACCUAGGACUUGGGGAUGGCCUGGUCGGUCUACUCCACACUUCCAGUGCUUCUAAAGUGGCUGAUGUUCUUACAAAAUUUUUACCUGGGCGUGCCCAUCAUUUUCAUAUUCGCAAGCUGGGGGUUGUGUCACUCUUCAGCUUGAAGGGGACUGAUAGAAUAGGACCAUUUGAUAGUGGAUGAUUCUCUUUUAUUUUUUAAUUUGGGCCAGUAGUACUCGGUCCAAUCUUGUAUUUAAUGUAGGCCUUAUUUUUGUAUAGGAACAGACUAUCAUUCUUACAAAGAUAAUGAAAAUAUCUAGAACUCUCCUUUUUCUCUCUAAUGGAAACACUUGUGUUCUAAUUUCUUAGACUCUUAAUAUGAGAAAUAUGUCAAGUUUACAGUU